GUCGCACAGGACCGUGGCAAACUCGGUGCCGUCUACGCCCACAAUGCUGGCCGCAAACUGGGGGAUAUCCAUGGAGACGAUCCAUUGCAGGAGCGCGUGACCAAAGUGCGUCGGGAGGCGAGCCAAGCCGACGAGCGUCAUGGGGACGGCCAAAGGCACCCGAGGCCACGUGUGACGGUUGACGAUGGCGCUAAACCAUGGCUCGGUGCCGCAUGCCUCCUCCCAGAGGCACGGCAGCACUUGCACAAACUGGUCGUUGUCCAUGGCGCCUGCCAUGCGUUCGGUUGCGGGCGCACGCCGACAUUGAGCCGCGCCCAACAGACACUGUCGUCGCAUCUCGUGUCGCUCGUCGGCAGAGAAAUGGCAAGACAGAGCAUCUAUCGCGUGGUCCAGGCCCAUGUUGGCCGCCACGGAAGCGAACCCGCGCACCGUCGCAUCUCGUCCCAUCGGACACGCAGUGGUUGUUGCGGCGUAAUCUACCGCGUCGUCGACAGCCGUCUGGCCCAUGGCGUCAAUAGCGACAAGCGACACGCCGAUGGCGUCAACGUCGCAGACCGAACGUAUCUCGUCAGCGGCUUGGCGCCAGCGGGCCGGAUCGGUGAACGCAUCAAUGUCGCGCACCAAACUAAAGGGCACUUGCCAUGACGAUCCCUCACGCGUGACAAAAGCACGCGGCGCACAAUGGCGCGGCACGGUGCCGAGUAUAACAUGCCAAAGUCGACACACGGCACGGACGAGGGCAUGCCACCGCGGUUCGAGAAAUGGUGAGCCUUUUCUUGUUGAUGAACCCGCCAGAAUCAUCUCCACCAUCUCCACCGGCAGUCUGUCGAAAGACGCCAGUGCAGCAUCGUCCCUGAUGGGCCCGAUACACGCCGCCGUGCUUCUUUUCAUGUCCUGUGCCGUUUUGUCGUACACACGCGAAAUAAACUCGACGCGCUCACUGA
rnacentral:lncRNA from 1 species